UACAGAGGUCUCAAGCGUUGUUCGGAUUCAUUGGGCGUAAAGGGUGUGUAGGUGGCGCCGUAAGUCGGGUGUGAAAUUUCGGAGCUUAACUCCGAAACUGCAUUCGAUACUGGCGUGCUUGAGGACUGGAGAGGAGACUGGAAUUCAUGGUGUAGCAGUGAAAUGCGUAGAGAUCAUGAGGAAGACCAGUGGCGAAGGCGGGUCUCUGGACAGUUCCUGACACUGAGACACGAAGGCCAGGGAGCAAACGGG
rnacentral:rRNA from 1 species